UUCAUGCUGGCGCAAAGCGUUGCAGUUCAAACACUCGUGUAUUUUCAAAAAUGAAAUUCAUUUUUUUAUAUUCACAUUUUACUUUCAUUUCUGUCGGGAUUCCCAGCCGUUAAAAUAGACGUACCUCAUUUGUCAAGAUUCAUACGCACAUUGUUCACAUAUGCAUCGCAUUCAUGAGGAAAUGGCUAUUAUUACAGAUGGUAAAGAAAAUUGGAAAUGUAAAUAUUUACUUACACUUACAUUUUCAAUGUUUUGCCUUCGAUAUCUUUACAAAUAAUAAUGAUAGAUAUUUUCCUCAGGAAUACGCCGUAUCUGUACAUGUGAACAUGCGCGUAGAAAUCUUGAUAAAUAUAUGCAUAGUGCCUCUAUUUCAUCAGCUGGGAAUUCUGACAGAUAUGAAAGCAGAAUGUAAAUAUAAUUUAAACUUCAUUUUUGAAAAUACAUGUACCGGUACACGAGGGUACAUGAACUGCGAUGCUUUACGCCGGCGUACUUCAGGAGGUCCUUGUUUUACCUGGGGAUCGAGUGUGGUAGACAGACAGGGUGGCACAUAAUGGGACGUCAAGUCAAGAAUCGACAAGACAUGAACAGCGUUCACCAUGCUCUAGAACAUCUGGGUCUCAAAGGACAUCCGACUGACUACCAAACUGCUGUUCCUUAACUCCAAUGUUAUGUCCAUUUUACUACGCGGAGUGGGACAUGGAGAACGAUUAGAGCAACCCUGCAGAAGAUCCAGACAUUCCACAACACCGGUCUCCGGCGCAUCUUCAACAUCCGACGGCCUGGGAGGAUCACAAACGAGGAACUACGGAGGAGAGCAGGUGGACUUCCAAAUCAGACGGAGAAAGUGGGGCUGGAUUGGACACAUCCUAAGAAAGCCACCAUCCAACACCUCACGCGAGGCCCUGAGGUACGGAGACGAAUUUCGAGGCGUGUGACAUCACUUGGCAAGGCGCAGUUAUUGAGUUAAAGCAGCCCAGAUGGUUCUUGUUCCUCGCGGAACGACAGACCUAUAUAAUCAAUGCAUGCAGUUGCUUCUUCAUCUAAUCUGGUAAUGACUGUCCUUUGACAAAUUGUGAGGACAUUUUUAUUCCCCAUCGAGUAAUUUCACUCACAAUUUCUCAGAGGAACGGCAAGCGACUGUGCUUCAAAUCACACGCUCUGCAAUGAUGAUGGAAGACGUGUUCCGUGAGACUUGGCACUCGUUGGUGAUUGGACGAUCCCUAGCGGAUAAUUACACGACAGAAGAAUAUGCUUUACAUGUACAGAACAAUAGCAUUAUUUAUAAACAUUCUAAUGGUAUGCACAAGAUUGUAAACUUCUUUGAUGUUGAUUUACUUUUAUGCAAGGUAUGCACGAGUCAUUCCUAUCGUGUACGAUUAACCAUUUAAACCAUAUAAGUAAGUUAAUCCAACUAGAGUUAGGCAAGGAAACUCUCAAGAUUGGUCAAUUACAUGUAUACACAUUAUCAUAUACACAUAUAUGUAUAUACUAGUAAAGAAUCAAGGUUUGUUUAUGUUUACUCUCGUAUUGGAUAUUUAAAGGCAUGUCAGAAGUCUUCCUAAGCUAGCCGUGUGUAUGCUCUCAGAAAAUAUGUUUUUCAAUAAACAUUUCUAGAAUUCAGGGAUUGAUAUUGGAAUAAGAUUAAAUUUGACAAGAUUUGGGAUUAAAUCUCGCUCGAUUAUCAAAUUUAGGAAUAGACUUGAUUAUCAAAGUUACGCAUAGAAUUUGCUGAUUACAAUGGGCCCAAUGCUUAUUUGUGAUAAUUCCCUUAAUUUUUUGUUUUUGUUUUACGGGUAAUAACUUUGCAUGAUAAUAAAUAUUACAUUGUUUUUUAUGAUUGUUUUAUUUUUCUUCAAAGUACAUUGUAUCGUCUCGUUUUGAGAAUAGUAAGACUGAAUUAAUUAUUUAGGAAUAUAUAUAUACUAGACAAAAUUUCUAACUCCCCACCUAAGUUUUGUCAUCCACUGGUUUUAUUUUCUAUUAUUUUGACAUAGGUUUUGAUUGGUAUAAAGUAUAACAUCUUCAAAAGAAGUCAAUUUUUUUUUCAAUGUUCAUUUAUUUAAAUAUUCAAUUAAAAACAUGGAAACUUAACAGUACCCUAAAUUUUGAAAUUCUCAACAAUCAAUACCGUGUGUGUCCCCCAUUCGCUCGAAUAACUGCCUGGCACCUGCUUCGCAUUGAGGUCACGUAACUGUGUAAAAACCUUUGUGGAAUGUUAUUCCAAGUGUUAGUAAGAUUUCUAUCAAGUUCUGCCAGAUUCUGCGGCUGGGGAAGCUGUCUUACUCGCCUGUCUACCUCGUCCCAUACAUGUUCAAUAGGAUUGAGGUCUGGACUGCAAGGGGGCCAGUCAAUUACGCGGAUAUUGCGACCCUGCAGCAUCUGUUGGGUGGUUCUUGCCGUGUGUGGGGUGGCAUUAUCCUGCAUAAGGACCAUUCCGCGAUUUGCUUGGAUGUGCGGAAUUGUCACUGGCUGUAGGACAAGGUUUUGGUACCUUGCUGCAUUCAGGUUCUGGUGGAUCGGGAUCAUUGGUGUUUUUGUGUGAAACGAUAUUCCCACCCACACCAUGACAGAACCACCUCCAAACUGACCUCGCUCCCUUACACAUGCGUCAAUAUAUCGUUCGCCAAUUCUGCGGUAGACGCGGGACCGUCCAUCUGAUCGCCUUAGAUUGAAUCUGGACUCAUCUGUGAAAAGAACUUGUCCCCAGUCCGCGCGCGUAUACCUCAGAUGGCGUCUUGCCCACGCUAAUCGAAGUUGCCUAUGUCUUGCAGACAAUACCAACCCUACAUAAGGUCUUCUUGCCCGCAAUCCCCUUUCCCUAAGUCUGUUUCUCACAGUUUGAUCACUGAGGGGUCUUCCAUGUGUUCCCAAUGUGUGCCUUGCUGUUGCUCGAGCUGUCAAAUGUCUGUCACGUAAAUGGGUCACUCUUAUGUAGCGAUCCUGUUGAGGGGUUGUUACACGCCGUUUGGGCCGUCGGCGUAGAUCCGCUACACUUCCGGUUCCAUUGAAUUUUCGGAUUAGGUUUGCGAUGGUCUUGUGGUCUCUAUUGAAAUUUCUAGCAACCUGUGAAAAUGAUCAAUUCAAUUGAAUAUUUAAAUUGUUUCCUACACUGUGUAUCUGAAAGUUUUUCGCAAAAGAUCGAAUGUAAUGGAAGAAAGCAAACCUCUCGUAAACUGCAACCAGCAUGGACCAUGCCAACUGCUCUUGCGCGUUCUUCUGUCGACAUGUGCCGCAUUUGACUUCAGUAAUUUUGUGUUUUUCAAAUACAAAUGAGUGUAUUGAGAACAAGAAAACAAAGAAUUUUCAAAAGCAAACCAGUAAAACCAAUCGAGCACGAGAUUUUCAAUUUCAACAAAACCCGCUACGGCCCAGUAGCUACGAACGCGUUCUUGAAAUCUUUGUGCUUAAAAGGUCAGCAUUUUAGUUAGCAGACGAUAUUAUAAAUUACAAAUUGCAUAAAUGCAAAGGUUUGUAAAAUUUAGAAAUUAUCAACUUGGGGAGUUAGAAAUUUGGUCCAGUAUAUAUAUAUAUAUAUAUAUAUAUAUAUAUAUAUAUCGUAUAAAUUUUAUCCCCAUCUCUUUAGAAUGGAGUAUUACUGUGUAAAUAAUAUAACAGAAAUUUUAACCGGUAAUCUUAUCUGUAAUGAUAGUAGUAGGGGGUCUAUACCAUACCACCCCUAUUAGAUGUAAAAGUACUAGAAGUGGGUUUUGUUUUUCUUUUUGGUUUAAACAAUAUUUAUUCAAUAAUUUGAUGGGAUUGGGCAGCAGGCUUAGCCUAUGUGAGCCUUCUCCCUAUUAUGAUCAAACACGACAUGUACAUGUACAAAAUUGUAUAAAAUUUGUAAUUAAUUUGGGGUUUACAUGUAUAUAAGAAAUAUUAAUAGAUUAACAAUACGCCUGUUUCGAGAUACGAACUCUUUUGUAUAGGAGGUGCAUUUAGUGGAACUUUGAAUGCCUAAGUGGGACAGAGUGGAUAUGCAGCCAACGAGGAAGACGAUGAAAUGUAUUAAAAGCGGCUUCUCUUUUAAAUAUGUAAAUGUGGGAAAUACUAAAUACUAUCGAAAGAAAUGUUUUACCGAAGAGGAAACAUACAAUGUCAUAUUUGCAAGAAAUAUCUUGGAUAUGGUACUUAUGACCAGCGAAAUAACGUGAUAGGAUAAGAAUUCUAUGUAUUUAAUUACUCCCUAAAUACUUAUCACUUACUUAGUUUGUGUAUCAGUCGAAUUCGGGUUAUCAAACAGCGUAUGAGAAACUUGCUGAGUACAUUCACUUACACUGUGAUGAAUAUCUGUCCCACUCCCGCGAGUAAACACUUUUUUUCGCGCCUUACUAUGUAUGAGAGUUCUCCAAAGGGAAAUAACUCGGACGUAUCUCGAAACCGGCGUAUUGUAUAACAUUUGUAUAUAGUAUUGGUACUGGUUAUAUACAGUUUUAAUAUAGAGCCUAGUACGCAUUUUUAAAAUAAUAAUACAUUUGAAGAUUACUUAAAUCUUUUGGUAAGUGCAAUAAAUUUAUGCACAAAUUCAAAAAGUUUCUUAUUGGUUUCAGGGGUGGUGUGGUUUAGACCCCCUACUAUUAUCAUUGCAGAGACAAAAUUACCGGUUCCUUUGGUAUAUGAAAAUAAUCAGCUGAUGGGUUGUUAUGCCCAUUGUUAUCAUUACUUCACAAACUAUUACAUUUACAUAUUGUAUAAAACUUUUGAAUGCUACUUAAAAUAUGGGAUCAAACUUAUGGAAAUCAUAAUGAUAAAUUGCUUUGUAAAAUUCUUAACGAGUAUUAGGUUUUAUAGAACAUUUGUCAUUGAUUUCAGCGAUUCGACAUCCUUAAUUUCCAAUAAAUACAGUAUUAUAUCUUGUAUCAUUAAUAUACGAGAGACGCUCUCAAUUAUAAGAUUUUGACGUACAGCUGCUUUAAUAUACAUGUUCACCAGUAUGAACGGUGCGCAUGCACUUGGUUUGUCAUAGGGGCAGACCUAUAGCUCUCUCAUUCUCUACCCAGAGUUCCGUUCGCUCCUCGCACUACACCUCUGUCAACGGCUUUUUACAGAAAUCUUGUAAAAGUUUCUUUUAUCCAACAUUUAUGUUUUGGACUAAAUAUUUAGUCAUAUUAUGAUAUGUUUUUGGUGCAAUCAAAUUGAUGCUUACUGUAAAUUGUUUAAAAUCGCCGUUUUCUGAUCAUAAAUUUGGAACUACUUCGUAAUAUGCGUAUGAAUGUAGGAUAUACACGUGGUGGAGAUUUAAAUGUAAACAUGGAAUCAAAAGUAAGAAAGGCUGUAAAAUAUGAUAAAACUUGUAAAAUAAGAGACAAACAGCUAAAUGGUAAAUAUGCACUUAUUAAAGUGUCAGUUGGCUAUGAAAAGAGCCUGAUGUAUCACCUGUUGCCUGAACUUUUAAAGGGAUAGGAAACCGAGAAUGAUUGUUUAUAUCAUGUGAUUAUAUUGUCACGUGAUUCCAAGCGUUGACAGAGGUGUAUGUGAAGCUUGCGUAACACGCCCUCUGGUGAGAGAAUGACAGCUCUCUGGGAAAUAUUGGGGCAGAUCAUAUCUCUGUCUUAGACUAGAUUUGCACUAUAGUGGCUGUCAACAUUUCUAGGAAAUCUGCGAUCAGUACAAGACGCUGAUACAUCACGUGCGUCUGAUCAAGAAGUGUCGUCACAGUCGUGAUAUACAUUUGAUGGAUUGAAAUGAAUUCCCAUUUGAGAAUAAUGACGUCACCAGUUUUCGGUGAAGUGCCACAAUAAUGACCUAUGCAUGGCGGUCAACCAGGGCGGCAGCAGUUCUUAAAUGCGCCACCGUCUGCCGUGGCACGUGACCUCUGUGGACUGCUGGCCUAUCCGGGCGCUUGACGGAGGAGCUAUCGCGACUACCUGUUAUUUAUCGUUAAAUGUCAGUUUCACAAUGACAAAUUGUAAUUUUUGUAUUUACACCCACCCAGAAAAUUCAAAAAUUACAAUACGACAAUACAUGUAACAUGUGUAUUACACUGUCAUACUGUAUUUAGUAAAUAAGACAAUACAGCUAACAUGUGUAUUACACUGUCAUACUGUAUUUAGUAAAUACGACAAUACAGCUAACAUGUGUAUUACACUGUCAUACUGUAUUUAGUAAAUAUGACAAUACAGGUAACAUGUGUAUUAUACUUAUACUGUAUUUAGUAAAUACGACAAUACAGGUAACAUGUGUAUUACACUGUCAUACUGUAUUUAGUAAAUACGACAAUACAGCUAACAUGUAUAUUACACUGUCAUACUGUAUUUAGUAAAUACGACAAUACAGCUAACAUGUGUAUUACACUGUCAUACUGUAUUUAGUAAAUAUGACAAUACAGGUAACAUGUGUAUUAUACUGUCAUACUGUAUUUAGUAAAUACGACAAUACAGGUAACAUGUGUAUUACACUGUCAUACUGUAUUCAGUAAGGUGAUUUUGAACAGUGGAAUGUGAUACUACAAGUAUUACAUCUCGUUGCAUUGUACACAUUUUCUUUCUUCUUCUUCAGGUUUUACACUUGUAAGUUGUCUUGGUUACUAGGAGUACAAGACCAACAGUCUGGUAUGAUAAUUUAUGUCUUGGUUACUGGAAGUACAAGACCAAUAGUCUGGUAUGAUAAUUUAUUACCAGACUGUUAACAGGCACUGUCCCUUGGUGCCCCCUGUAACCAAGUCAAUAAAUCAUACUUUCUUUAACUGUUUUUCAUAUAGUACAAUUAUUUUCAUUAUAUAAUUAUUGUAACCUUCCUGCUUUAGACAUAAAACAUUCAGAACUGGAUCCUGCAUGUACAUGUGUAUUAUACUGAUAUUGAUUACAAUUUUAUAUAUCCACCGUUUCUGAAACCGACACUGUCCUUAGAUAUGUGAAGCAGUUUGGUUAUUUAUUAUUGUACAUUUCAUUUUGUUAAUUUAAAUCUUGCCUGCAAUCAGUAUUUCAUAUAUAAUUAUAGAUGUGUGCAGUGCAGAAAUGUGAACUCUGACUGUAGUAGUACACCUGAAUGAUUGUGAUUUAUUUAUAUUAUUAUAAUUAAUUGCUAGUUAAACUGUACAUGCUCCCGAGCGUCCUUGAUUGGUGAAUAAACAUAUUAUAUUGUAACUAGCUGGCGAAAGGACCACGUAGAGCCCGAAAUAGGAUGCUUACUGCAAAAAGUAUUGGCUUUUUUUUUUUUCAUUUGACAGUACAGAGGCCGUAGAUUCCCAUCAAGACACUCAAUUGAAACUGUAAAAUAAUAAAAGAAAAUACCAUGUAUUCAGUUUUUGCAAGUAUGACAAAGCAAACAACAAAACGAAACAUCACUUAAUAAUUUCCCAAUUUGUACUGAUCCCAAUUAAGAUUUUCCGAGUUAUGAGUAACCUUGCCAUUGAGUAUCAAGUAGAGCGGAAGUUAUAUUCAUAUGUUGACUACGUAGUUGUGUAGGGGUAUUACACUCAUUAGAUAACCAUGGAAACAAUCUCAUACACACAAUAUAUGUUUCCGAUGAUGAAAUUAGUUUGAUUGGACAUUUUUGUCCGGAAAUGUGUCAUAACCUUUAAGGAUAUUAAACAUUACUGACGCACUCAGAUCAAGAAAACCACAAUGAUCUAUCCUCUAAUGUUUAAUAAUUAAGAUAAUUACAAAUUGAUUAAUACAAAAUCUUUCGUUUACUAUUGUGCAGAACCAGGGUUACGGAAAAAAAUUUCACAAAUUCCAUAUGUAAUCCCGUGGGGAUCCGGGUUAGAAUAGGUCUUCGGUGCCUCCUUGCUUGUCGUAGGAGGUGACGAAAUGGGGUGGUCCUUCGGAUGAAACCCCAAAAACCGAGGUCCCGUGUCACAGCAGGUGUGGCACAAUAAAGUUCCCCCCCCCCACCUCCUGUUCAAAGGCCGUAAGCGCCGAUUUUGCAGCCCUUCACCGAUAUAAUGGUGACGUCUCCACAUGAGUGAAAAAUUCUUGAGCGGGACGUUAAACAAUAUACAAUAAACCAUAUAUAAUCCUGCAUGCACUUCUUCCAAGUACAUGUAUACAAAUGUACAUGUAUGUAUUAUAUGGAUUUCUGAACCAUUAUAUAAUUCUUCGUAAUAUUUUCGCAAAUUUGUGUUUGAUGUGUGAAAACUAUGUUACCAGAAUUAUAUGUUAAUACAACAGAUAUCACGAGGACAGUGGUGUAAGGUCAUGUCGUUGUAACAGCCAGCUUAAUUACUUCAGAUACCGUUAUAUAGCGUAUAUUCGUGACUCCGGCAUGGACAUCUCGUGAACAUCAACACUCGCACACAUGCAUCCACACGGUGAUGUACAUCCAUGUCUAUAAUAUUGAUAGACCCGGGAGUUUUAUAGACACAUGGUUUUAACAACUUCAACUUGUUCAAGAGAUUGAACAUUAUAAUCAAAGGUAUAAAUUAUCCUAUAAUUAGUAUAGAAAAAAAUCUCAGAUGAGAAGAAAGAAGGUAAGGCGAGGUAAGGAGAUCAUUUUAAUGCAUUUUAGCAUGAUUAAAUGCAUGCAACAAUAUGGCAAUGUACAAUAACAAAUCUGAUUAUCGUUCUUCUUUUGUUUACUAUUUUUACCUCGUGAUGAAAAUACAUUUGGAAUAUAUUUCAACAUUAACUAAAGCAAAGUAAGUUUAUAAACUUUCAUUGCAUAAUUGAAUAAGUAUCUUUUUUUUUUUAAUCAACAACAACAAAUAAUGAUAUUAGAUAUCACCCCCUUGUAGAAACGGAAACAAGAAAUAUCACACGGGAUGCGCCUCGUCAUCGACCGUCUUUAAAGCCAGCCAUGAUAAAAACAAAGAAUAUAAUUGUUUGGAGACGCACACACAGUUUGAUUUGAAGAAAACUACAACGUGCAGAAAAUCCUCGUCUACAUAUCACCAGCAGGGGAUUACAUGAAAACAACUAAUUAACAAACUAUCUUGUAAUAACACACAUAUCUUUAUAUUUUUACAUAGUCUCACUAUGUUCUAUAUACAUACAAUUCAUACAUAAUCACAGAAAGAAAAAAAUAUACUUAAAUACCUAAUAAUAAAUACGUUGCAUAAAGUUGUACACUGUAAUGCAAUAUAAUUUAGUUGCCAAUAUCGCAUGCAAUAUUACAGCCUCGCUAACACUGACUGCCCUAUCAUAGCAUCUAAAGAUGUAGACGUCUGCACCACAAAUAUUUUGUUUACGGUGUGAAAUUUAACCUUGACAAAUGCAGCACCUUUGGAGUUGGCAUGGAUUAGAGUGCGAAAUUGCAGGUAAAAAUCAAAUGGAUUUCAAAGUAGUUAGAAUUGAUCAUUUAUGGCUGCCAAAUAAAGGGAUUUAAAUGCACGUGAAUACCGUGUAUUCGGUUCAGUGCUAUACCCAUGUCAGCAUUAUAUUGAGUAUUUUACGUCCGGGAUAUACGUGACUGUUUCAAAAUGAUAAAAUUCACGUCCUGAUUUGAGGAGAAAAAUUCAUAAUAAUAAUUACAAAGCGUGAGUUGAAAACCUCUACAAACCACACGACACAUGGUCAACACCUAGAAUACUAAUUCUACAUCCGAGAUGACCAUUUGCAUAUAAAUGCACAAUUAUCAACGAGAGACUAAAAGUAGGAAUUGAGGAAUAAUGGCAAGUUCAACUGAUAUUUCGUCAUCUCAAUUCCUACCUGGAAUAAUGCCCGUUCAUCAAACCCAACGAAAAACCAGGGGCCAUGACCAUAGGAUAUUCAACUCGUGUCAUUACCCCUAUUAAACAGAUUCUCAGAACAAUGCUUUUCUCUAUAGUUUUAUGAUAUAGCACUAUAAUGAAUAUACACCGUGCAGUUAUUGUGCACCUACAUUAGAAACACACCGGGAGUAUGAAUAACGAACAUUAUCUUAUCAAUGAAAAUUAAAUGAAUAUAUUAUACAAUCUAUGACAGCCAGGGUAGGAUUCUCUCUAAUAUCUACACAGACGACUUCAUACCAAAUAUUUUGAAUCACAAAACUUAAAAGACUUGGUCUUCUCUACAUUUUCACACACUCAAUUAAAUUCAAUGUAAUAUUUUGUAAAACCUGUACUAGCUAUAUAGCUAGUUCAACAGGUUUUGUGUAGUUUAGGGAAAAUAUAUUUUUCCUUAUCGUGAAACAGAAACUUUGAUUCAACUACACGUGUUGACGACAGCCCAAGAAGAAAACUCACUACAAACCAGCCUUAAACAAAAUGCAACCACGAAUCCCUGGUCACGGUAGGUGUAGUUUUCGCAAAACAUUCGAAAACGUAAUUCUUUCCAUCAUUACUGUCCCAGUAUACCAGAUCACCAACAGA